rnacentral:rRNA from 1 species
CGUGGCGAACGGGUGCGUAACACGUGGGUAACCUUCCCUCUUGUGGGGAAUAACCCGCCGAAAGGCGGGCUAAUACCGCAUAACAUCCCCUCCGGCAAAACCCUGCAGGAGGAGGGGCCCGCGGCCGAUUAGCUUGUUGGCGAGGCAACGGCUCGCCAAGGCAAUGAUCGGUAGCCGGUCUGAGAGGAUGGCCGGCCACACUGGAACUGAGACACGGUCCAGACUCCUACGGGAGGCAGCAGUGGGGAAUCUUGCGCAAUGGGCGAAAGCCUGACGCAGCAACGCCGCGUGGGGGAUGAAGCUUCUCGGAGUGUAAACCCCUUUCGACCCGGACGAAUGACGGUACGGGUAGA